AUGCAACGGUUUCAAAAGAGGCAUGAGAAGGUGGGCGAGAAUAGCUUUGAGGCUUUGGUCAUUGAGGAUUUUGAUUGGGGCAAUGAGUGGGUGGACCCAUCACUAUCACAGCCUCAAGGUGCUCGAGGUUGUCCUGAAGACAAUCAAGACAUUACAUGGGAGGAUGUUGAUGUGGCUAUUGGUGCAUCUUCGAACCUUCGAGGCCGCAAUCUGCAUAGGACAUCAACUAUAGUUCGUAGGGGCCAGACAAAUGUCUGUCUGCAACACUACGCACGCAAGAGACCUACUACAACACGACCUACAAAUCCUGAAGAAGAUGAAGCAGAGGAGGACUUGGAGCAAGAACAACACUCAAGUAUGCCCAAUGCGGAGGGGGAGGAUUCAGACUACGUUGAGGAUGAUGAUGAUGUGAGCAAUGACGAUCAAGAGCCAACUAAUGUUGACCAAGAUGGUGAAGACAGCACCAAUGCCAAUGAGUUUGAUGAUGAUGACUUUUGA
rnacentral:rRNA from 1 species